CUUGUCUUUUUAUUGACGUCAUUUAUACUUCAUUGUUAUGUCCUGUCUAACAACUUUGUCACCUCUUUAUUUAAUUUAGAAGCUAGUCUUUUUAUUGACUCUGUUUAUACUUCAUUGUUAUAUCCUGUCUCACCACUUUGUCACCUCUUUAUUUACUGAACUUUUGUACAAAAGGUUGUGUUAUUUUCUUAUUUGACAUUUUCAGCCCAUGCUGUGCUUCUGCUGAAGAAACAAUACUAAUGUCGCAUGGAACUAUUAUUGGUCAACAAAUAGUCCACCUUUCAUUGAGCAGAAGCUCAACAACUGAUGAAUUCAUGAGAAUCAAAGAUUUAUGCAUCUACGGUUGUGCGGAGAUAGAGAACCCAUUGAUGCCAAUCUCAUUCUAGAACUGGGAGACUUCGAUCAAUGAUUUCUAAUUCCAAUCUGAAGCUUCUGACCCCCAUCAAUGCUUCCACAGCCAAUGUCUGUUGCAGCAGGAUUUACCUCCACCUGUUAUUGGUUUUUGACCUGUAUCGAUGUAGAAAAGCAAUGCAGAGUGUCUUCUUCUUCUUAGCUGCUGAGACAUGUAGACACCAAGACCUCUUCUGAGCAACUUUUAGGCCUCAAUACUGGUGAACACCAACGACAUUGACAGGAUGUGCCUUUUUUGCUUCUUCUGAAGAAUCUCUGUUUUUUAUUGUUUCUUUUUGCUAAUUUCAAGCAAAUAUUGUCUAUGUAUACAGUUGUGGCAUCCUAUUUCAGUUCUCAUUAUACUAUUGCAGUCUUUAUUCUGAAUGUUCAA